rnacentral:lncRNA from 1 species
GUCAGUAUGGAGUUACCAUUACUUGUAACAGCCGCAGACUUUGUACCAAGUUAAUAACAUGGACUUCAAGCCUAUCUGAACCUGCAUGGAGAUUGGAACAGAGUAAAUAAAGUGGGAAAUCAAGUUGUGCCUUUGAAAUCGACCUAUUAUAAUAUCAGCUUUUCAAUAAAGGAGUAAAUCUACAUUGUUGUACAGAGGCAUGAGGACAUAAUCUUGAUAGAAG